UACGUAGGUGGCAAGCGUUGUCCGGAAUUAUUGUGCGUAAAGCGCGCGCAGGCGGUCCUUUAAGUCUGAUGUGAAAGCCCACGGCUCAACCGUGGAGGGUCAUUGGAAACUGGAGGACUUGAGUACAGAAGAGGAAAGCGGAAUUCCACGUGUAGCGGUGAAAUGCGUAGAGAUGUGGAGGAACACCAGUGGCGAAGGCGGCUUUCUGGUCUGUAACUGACGCUGAGGCGCGAAAGCGUGGGGAGCAAACAGG
rnacentral:rRNA from 1 species